CCUGCCGUUCCUAUCUCUUCUCUAUUUCUCUACCCUCUUCUUCCCCAAAACCCAACACUGAAAAUCAAUCUUGCCAAGAAGCCAUACCCACACUGUCAAGUCCGAAAUAGAAAGAAGGCAUCACUGAUCUCCACCUUUGAGCACUGACGACAUCUUGAGACUUUACCAUCAGACCAGAUUCUCUCUGCAAACAUUACCGGACACAGUCUUUGAUCCAUAUUCCCUCACUUGUGGCCAUAUAUUUUGCUACAUGUGUGCAUGCUCAUCUGCAUUAGUGUCAAUUGUUGAUAAGUUAAAGUCAAUAGAGCCUAAAGGAAAAUGCCCUCUGUGCCGAGAGCUUAUGAAUUUUAAGGAGAAAGAUGGCUUUUCAUUUUGAUUGGUGAUGAACUGGACUAAUUAUACUACUCAUCAACGGCAUGGAAUCUUUCAGUUAAGGUGAAAAGGGUUGCAUUGGUGAGUUUCUUUUGUAUUUCUCUUACCUUUCAAAGGGCACAAGACUGAGGAUGUAUACUUUUAUAAUGCCUGAUCUACAUGAGAUGGAGUUUCUACUAAUGAACAAUUAGAUGCUUGUAGUGCACACAAGACUGAGACAGGGCUAAUGAAUAACAUUAUGUAAUAACAUUAUAACCUUAGUUCACCAAGUUCAAGGUCCUUAAUGAUUUUCUUUUAAUAUGUUAUUUAUUUAUUUAUUUAAAUGGAUGUAGUUUAUAUAAAGAUAUGUUAAGCAUUCUUGUGUU